GCAAUAUAUGGAGCAAUAUAGAAUCACAUUAUUCUGCCCCAUCCUUCCCAAGGUGGAUUGUUUCAGAGUCAAGAGGUCAGCCAGAUGCACAGGGAUGGAGCACUGCUAGUUUUCCUAGGAAAGGACUGGCAUUAACGGCCAGGCUCAUAAGAAUGCGCGCACAUUGUUGUUUUCUAUUGCCUUCUAUUUUACUUUCCUUUCUCUCCUCAGAGUGUGAUCAGGAGGGAGCAGAGUUCCAGGAGCACAAAAAGCAGAAAAGGACAGAUGCAGCCCAGAUCUCCACACUAUAAAAGGCCUCUGCAUUGAACAAGCCUGUGUGACGUGGCCAGGAAGCCACAGGGAGAUGCAUAUGCCAAUACACAUAGAAAUAGGGCUCCUUUUUUUUUUGUAAAGAAAACAGACUUCAUUUUUCCCUAGUGCCACUGAAACUAAAUGCUUGAGCCUGUUUUUAUAUGCAGAAAUAUCCCCAGUGCAAAAAGAAAGUUAAUUCAAGAAGCAAAUGUCUACCUACAGGUAUCUGAAACAAACAUGGUCAGGUAAUCCAGAUUUCAAAGGAAAAAUCCCAAUUGCUAAUGUUUAGUAAUUGUAUAGCUGAUUUUAUAUUAAUAUAAAACGCUAAAUUUCUUUGAAUUUUGCCUCAAUAGAGAUGUGUUGUGUGACACUAAAUGUGAGACACAAAUCAUAUAAUGAUUUAUUAUCAGCUUUUAUGUCCUAAUUUUUGUUUUUGAAAAAUGGAGUCACCAUUCUUAAAGGAAAACAGUAUCAGCCUUCAAAUUAGUGUCCUAAAGUAGACUGACCCCAAACUGACUUCAUCAGGAACCGGAUUGGUAUAAGGCAGGGCUAUAUCUUCAGAUCACGGCAAAACUCAGUGAUGGACACGGGGGUACACCCAUCAGAGCAGUGUGAGGCUGAACCACAUAGGGACUGGUCCAGAGCUCCUUACCCUGCCUGUGCCUUCCAAGAAGGUUUGCUUCCAGAUAUGAGAUAUAAGCCAGACUUACAGGUAUAAAGAGAUAGAACCCACGGCUAUCAGAAAAAAAAGGGAUGAGGGGUUAAACAGAUCACUGUGGUAAGGCCAUUUGUCCAUUAUGCUAAAGAAUAUCAGACAUUAAAAAAAAAUUUUAGAAUUUUAUAUUUGUUCCUAAAUUUUUAAACAAGUUCUUAAACUUGUUAAAAUUAUGUGUGAGAUAAAAAUAAGUUGGUUCUCAUAAGAAAGAAUGCCAUUUUACUAUUUGUAGCAACAUGGAUGAACUUGGAGUGGAAUAAGUCAAAGACAAAUGCUGUAUGGUA
rnacentral:lncRNA from 1 species